rnacentral:rRNA from 1 species
UCAGGAUGAACGCUGGCGGCGUGCCUAAUACAUGCAAGUCGAGCGAACUGAUUAGAAGCUUGCUUCUAUGACGUUAGCGGCGGACGGGUGAGUAACACGUGGGCAACCUGCCUGUAAGACUGGGAUAACUUCGGGAAACCGAAGCUAAUACCGGAUAGGAUCUUCUCCUUCAUGGGAGAUGAUUGAAAGAUGGUUUCGGCUAUCACUUACAGAUGGGCCCGCGGUGCAUUAGCUAGUUGGUGAGGUAACGGCUCACCAAGGCAACGAUGCAUAGCCGACCUGAGAGGGUGAUCGGCCACACUGGGACUGAGACACGGCCCAGACUCCUACGGGAGGCAGCAGUAGGGAAUCUUCCGCAAUGGACGAAAGUCUGACGGAGCAACGCCGCGUGAGUGAUGAAGGCUUUCGGGUCGUAAAACUCUGUUGUUAGGGAAGAACAAGUACGAGAGUAACUGCUCGUACCUGACGGUA